GGGUCAGGAGGCCUGGCUGCCACCUGCAUGCCCUUGAUCCCCUGCUGAAUGAGCUGCACUGAGCAAGGUGUGGUGCAUGGUAAAAAGAUGAGAGUUGCUGUAGCACCUGAGAGGAGAAACAGCAUUGGUUUAACCCAUGAGGAAGAGUGGCUGCAAA